rnacentral:rRNA from 1 species
CCUACGGGGGGCAGCAGUGGGGAAUAUUGGACAAUGGGCGAAAGCCUGAUCCAGCCAUGCCGCGUGUGUGAAGAAGGCCUUCGGGUUGUAAAGCACUUUCAGUGGGGAAGAAAGCCUUGGGGCUAAUACCCUCGAGGAAGGACAUCACCCACAGAAGAAGCACCGGCUAACUCCGUGCCAGCAGCCGCGGUAAUACGGAGGGUGCGAGCGUUAAUCGGAAUUACUGGGCGUAAAGCGCGCGUAGGCGGUCUGAUAAGCCGGUUGUGAAAGCCCCGGGCUCAACCUGGGAACGGCAUCCGGACCUGUCAGGCUAGAGUGCAGGAGAGGAAGGUAGAAUUCCCGGUGUAGCGGUGAAAUGCGUAGAGAUCGGGAGGAAUACCAGUGGCGAAGGCGGCCUUCUGGACUGACACUGACGCUGAGGUGCGAAAGCGUGGGUAGCAAACAGGAUUAGAUACCCUUGUAGUC